CUGGCUACAAAUCAUUGUUAUCAUAAUAAGAAAACAGAAAACCUGUCAAACAGUUAUACAGAGACUUUUCAAUAAGAUUGAUACUCACAUUUAUGGUUAUUCAAAAUGAAGGAUGAAGCUGUCCAGCUCUUCUGUUCAUUGCGAAUCAAGAAUGAGUAAGACACUCUGCUCUAAAGUGGUUGUGAUGCAUAUUUUGAGUGGCAGAAGAUGUCUGGAGUUCUGCAUUAAAUUUCCCUGGUGCUUUGAAGAUCUUUCCUUCCCUAUGCCUGCAAGUGGAUUACAUAUAGUGUGGCCAAGAACCUUGGACCUCAAAUCUAAAUCCUGUAAAGCAUUUCCCCAACUGUCUUGCUUUUAUGGCACUCUUUGUGGACUGGGGAGAUGCAUUAAAAUUGUCUGAAGCAGAAUAAAAAACAGAAUCUCAAUUCA
ensembl:lncRNA